rnacentral:rRNA from 1 species
CCUACGGGAGGCAGCAGUGGGGAAUCUUGCGCAAUGGGCGAAAGCCUGACGCAGCGACGCCGCGUGAGUGAUGAAGGCCUUCGGUUGUAAAGCUCUGUGGGGAGAGUGGCGGUAUCCCCUUAGCAAGCACCGGCUAACUCUGUGCCAGCAGCCGCGGUAAGACAGAGGGUGCAAACGUUGUUCGGAAUUACGGGCGUAAAGCGAGUGUAGGCGGUCUCAAAAGUCAGGUGUGAAAGCCCUGGGCUCAACCCAGGAAGUGCACUUGAAACUGCGAGGCUAGAGUACUGGAGAGGUUGGUGGAAUUCUCGGUGUAGAGGUGAAAUUCGUAGAUAUCGAGAGGAACACCGGUGGCGAAGCGGCCAACUGGCAAUACUGACGCUGAGACUCGAAAGCGUGGGGAGCAAACAGGAUUAGAUACCCUUGUAGUC